rnacentral:lncRNA from 1 species
GCUCUUAGAUCUUUUCCAUUUAUCAGUUUAGAACUACACUGCUGUCCCUGAAGUAGCUCCUUAAAUGGUCUCAAUCUCCUGAAGGGGUUUAAGGAGAAGCUGUGUAUCCACAAGAAGGUGUGGAUUGCAACACCCAGCCAGGGCUGUUUUCAUGUCCCUGCUGCCCAAAUUUCAUUAUCUCUCAGCUGGUUAGCUACAGCUAAAGAUCAAACCACUAGAUAAUGAGAUCCUAGCUGAGUGAUCAAAAGAGGUACGGAAAAAUUACACAGUAGCUUUAUUUCACAGAUAGAAUUCAGUGAUAUAUUUUUUGAUACACA